GUAUGUUUGUGUGUGGAUGGUGUUCAGCACCAAGGACAAGUGUGUAUGUGUGCGGACGGUGUUUAGAACCAGGGACAGGUAUAGUUGUGU
rnacentral:pre_miRNA from 1 species